rnacentral:rRNA from 1 species
UACGAAGGGUGCUAGCGUUGUUCGGAAUUACUGGGCGUAAAGCGCGCGUAGGCGGCUUAUCAAGUCGGGGGUGAAAUCCUGGGGCUCAACCCCAGAAUUGCCUUCGAAACUGAUGAGCUUGAGUGUCGGAGGGGAUAGCGGAAUUGCUAAUGUAGAGGUGAAAUUCGUAGAUAUUAGCAGGAACACCGGUGGCGAAGGCGGCUAUCUGGACGACAACUGACGCUGAGGCGCGAAAGCGUGGGGAUCAAACAGG